UACGGAGGAUGCGAGCGUUAUCCGGAUUUAUUGGGUUUAAAGGGUGCGUAGGCGGACUGUCAAGUCAGCGGUAAAAUUGAGAGGCUCAACCUCUUCCCGCCGUUGAAACUGGUGGUCUUGAGUGGAUGAGAAGUACGCGGAAUGCGUGGUGUAGCGGUGAAAUGCAUAGAUAUCACGCAGAACUCCGAUUGCGAAGGCAGCGUACCGGCAUCCAACUGACGCUGAGGCACGAGAGCGUGGGGAUCAAACAGG
rnacentral:rRNA from 1 species